rnacentral:lncRNA from 1 species
AACACGAGCGUAAUACAUUCAGGAAUCAUUAGGAGGUCAGCACAUUUGAUCAACAACCGAUAGAACAUUUAUUUUCCAUUCCCGAUUUCUUUUUAUCCUUUGUUACUAUAAGCCACGUUCAACAUCACACGAACCCUCCGUUCGUGAAUCCAAGCCCAACUCACUAACAGAGUUGCCAGCCGCACCGAUCAUCGAUUCUCAUAGGCGGACCAACGGUCGUAAUCAUUACGUCUACCGCCUAAACCCGUCGCAACUACGCAUAGCGUCUCUCGUUCGCAUCGUAGACCCAAUCCUCAUUUCCGGGCAAAAUUCUUAUU